rnacentral:rRNA from 1 species
GGCCCUGCUUUUGUGGGGUGCUCGAGUGGCGAACGGGUGAGUAACACGUGAGUAACCUGCCCUUGACUUUGGGAUAACUUCAGGAAACUGGGGCUAAUACCGGAUAGGAGCUCCUGCUGCAUGGUGGGGGUUGGAAAGUUUCGGCGGUUGGGGAUGGACUCGCGGCUUAUCAGCUUGUUGGUGGGGUAGUGGCUUACCAAGGCUUUGACGGGUAGCCGGCCUGAGAGGGUGACCGGCCACAUUGGGACUGAGAUACGGCCCAGACUCCUACGGGAGGCAGCAGUGGGGAAUAUUGCACAAUGGGCGGAAGCCUGAUGCAGCAACGCCGCGUGCGGGAUGACGGCCUUCGGGUUGUAAACCGCUUUCGCCUGUGACGAAGCGUGAGUGACGGUAAUGGGUAAAGAAGCACCGGCUAACUACGUGCCAGCAGCCGCGGUGAUACGUAGGGUGCGAGCGUUGUCCGGAUUUAUUGGGCGUAAAGGGCUCGUAGUGGUUGAUCGCGUCGGAAGUGUAAUCUUGGGGCUUAACCCUGAGCGUGCUUUCGAUACGGGUUG